rnacentral:tRNA from 1 species
GGGAUUGUAGUUAAAUUAACAUUUAAUUUGCAAUUAAAAAAUGCUAAAUUAAUUAGCCUUUCUCA